UACGACGGGGGCAAGCGGUGUUCGGAAUUACUGGGCGUAAAGGGCGCGUAGGCGGUCUUGUAAGUCAGAUGUGAAAGCCCCGGGCUCAACCCGGGAAUAGCAUUUGAUACUGCGAGGCUUGAGUCCGGGAGAGGAUGGCGGAAUUCCCAGUGUAGAGGUGAAAUUCGUAGAUAUUGGGAAGAACACCGGUGGCGAAGGCGGCCAUCUGGACCGGUACUGACGCUGAGGCGCGAAAGCGUGGGGAGCAAACAGG
rnacentral:rRNA from 1 species